ensembl:lncRNA
UGGUUUUAUUGAAAGUGAAAACAAUAGAAAAAGAAAGAAAAUGUCAACAUUUCACAAACAGCCUGCCAAAAACUACCCUGUAUGAAAAAAUGUCUGAGGAACAAAUAGUGACAUAUAGGCUGCUACUCUGAAUACCCUAUAAAAUGAUACAUCCCAUGGGGUUAUUGGUCUUUCACAGUCAUACAACACAUGCUGUAAUGUAUAAGCAGGCUAGGACUACUAUUGAAAUAGAUAAAUGAGGCUGUCAACUAAGAACAAAGAACAACUAAGAACAAAACUCAUAGGUUUCUGGUUUAACAUACUGCUUUGACUUUCAGUAUGAAAUUUAUAUUUUCAGUGCAUAAAAAAAAAUGCUGAAGGUCUGUGAAAUUUGAGAAUUUCUGGUGUUUCUGUAUAGUGUUUUUGUAUAGAGUGCAGGCAUCUAGGGAGGAUGUUAAAGCUGGAGAAAAGCCAAACAUAAGAGAAAUAACUGCCCACUGAAUGUAAAAGAAACAAAACAAUUUCAAAUAAAAAAUAAUUAAUCAUUUGAUCACAUUCAAUUGAUCACAUUCAGCAGCAAAAGCAUGGUAUUACCCAUUACAUCGCCAAACCACUAUUAGCAACACAUAACAUUAGUUGUUAGAUCUAGCCUCGGUUUCCAGAUCACGUGGCACUUACGACGGUUUAACCAUGCGCGUAGCCUUAUGUGGAUUUUGUUACGAACGAUUUACGCCCGUUUCUGAAACCACCACGCUCAUCCGCUCUUUACAAAGUGCAUGGGGGACCCCCGGGCAGCCGUAAUAACUCCGAAACUACACCUGUAUCAAGCUGCUCUCAGUAUCGGCACUGGCAGGUCGGACCUCAAAGGUCUGCUGAAUCCGUACGAACAAACGCAAAUGUAUAAAGCCACUUGUUCCCCCUUCAGAUGUCUGCAUAUCCAGACAGCUGUUAUGAAGACAUGCAAGACCCACGGCUUCAUAGGACGCCUGGGAAAGGAGAGUGGUGUGUUAGGGAUACCAAGAGCCUUCCCAGUUACCGAAGCCCUUCUGUUCCUGACCCUGCCUGCCCCCUGUGCUUCAGCCUUGCGGACCACCUCGUUAUGACCUUCGCCUGUCCCCCGACCUCGAACCAGACAAUUCCUCUGCACCUCUUGGAUUCUGAUUCAUUGUAUGACCUGCCUGCCAACCAGGAGACUGUCUAUUCCUACACUAAACAUCUGUGCACGACCCCUCCUCUCUGCCUCUGUGUCCGCGCUGGGUUCCACACCCCGGCCCUGUCACAUAUGAUGCUUUAUGGAUGUCAACCUCAUUACACAACCCUUGUUCCGAGACCCGUCCUGCACCUCCCUUCCAACUACCUGGAUCACCUAUCUGCCUUCCCAUUAUUGACCUUCCCCUGCAUUGACUCCCCGCUCUGUUAACUGAACCCUGCCUGACCAUUCUUGCCUCCCGGAUUUCGUACCUCUGCUACCCACUUUUUUUUCAUAGUUACCUACAUUUUAGGAAAAGGAAAUGACCUCUUCAGGGUUUUCGCCGGGCCCUCUUAGACAGCUGGAGGGUAAAAGAAUACCUUCAAUAACACAAUCAAAUCAAAGUGGAC